GACGAACGCUGGCGGCGUGCUUAACACAUGCAAGUCGAACGAAGUGGCGAACGGGUGAGUAACGCGUAAUCAACCUGCCCUUCAGAGGGGUACAACAGUUGGAAACGACUGCUAAUACCGCAUACUGAAGGAGGGGAUUGCGUCUGAUUAGCUCGGUGGCGGGUUAACGGCCCACCAAGGCGAUGAUCAGUAGCCGGUCUGGGGGGAGUAUCGGCCACAUUGGGACUGAGAAACGGCCCAGACUCCUACGGGAGGCAGCAGUUGGGAAACUUCCGAAAUGGACGAAAGUCUGACGGAGCAACGCCGCGUGAGUGAUGACGGCCUUCGGGUUGUAAAGCUCUGUUAAUCGGGACGCGGUACCGAAAUAGAAAGCCACGGCUAACUACGUGCCAGCAGCCGCGGUAAUUC
rnacentral:rRNA from 1 species